ACCUGUAUCCACUCUCUUAGAGAAGGGAUGUGUAUUUGGCAGUAUAGAGGCAAGUAGCUUGCAGCUACCCCCUGGGAGGAGGGAGUUGGUAAACCCAGAGAGGGAAGAGAGGUAGAAAGGGAGGAAAGCUCAGGGGGAAAAGCUGCAAGGCAUAGGAUAUUACAGUCCUUGGUCACUGAAGAGAGGAUCCCUGAGGUGGAAAUGGAGUAGAGGUGGAAACAGGCCCAGGUUCCCCUACCAGCCACUAGGGAAGUGGCACAGAUCAAGCAGUGGAGAGUGGACUGUUUGGGUCAGUCUGCCCUGAAAAACUGUGAUACUCUGGAAGGGGAGGACCAUAGUGACCUGGUCAGAGGGCCCAGUCACAAAGAUGAACCUGCAGCUCCUGGAGCAGGAGGAGCAGCAAGGAUUUCUCCCCUGUGAAUAAGUGGUUGGCAACCCAACUGAAAGUUCUUCUGAUUCAAUGUCACAGCCUGAAAUGGAUUUCACGCCACUGUCACAAUGGAUCCAUUUACUGCAAUACUUAACAAUGGCCCCUUCCACCUGGUACUGCCCAUCUUUCCAGAUGUAACCAUUUGUGGCUUGAGUUUUUCCAUCAACUUCAAUGGUCUUGAGUUAUACAUAGGGGCAUGCCAGGGAAGUAAUGGAGCACACAGAACUCCACCAGAUCUGCAGCUGGUGGCUGAAGUGUCUGAGGGGAUGACUUUGCUCCUGUUAUGAUAAAUCUGGCGGAGAAGCCCAUGAAAUGUGAUACUUGUUAUAACAGAGUCAUUCUUGGCAGCUUCUUCAAAGUGCUUGUGUAAUUUCUCUGUAAAUCUGUACACAAUGAAGAUGGAAAAAGAGAGACUGUGACAUUGCCAAGCAUUUAUGGAAAGGAAACUCCAUAAUGAGAAUCAAGCAUUUGGACACUUGUUGAGAACAAAGGCUGAAGAACGUUCACUGUGCUAUGAGUCAUACAGACAGAAAUGCAUGAAGAUCAUGACUAUCAGAAACCAGAACUAGAGCAAGAAUAUUUUUAGGCAGGAAUUAUUCUCAGUGCUGCGGCUGCCUUCUAUUCAGCUAUGUCAGAGACCAACUAGAAGCAGGAAGUAACACAUUUUUCAACAAGUGCAGUACUUUUUUCUUUUUCUAAAACAAUG